AUGAAUCUCGCCAACACGAAGGCUGGCGAGAUCAAACAGCUGCAGCCAGAGUACCCGCGGUGGCCCAGCCAGCCCGACCGCUUCUACUACCUCAAGUUCGGGAGCUGCACGUCCAAUUCAGAGAUCGGCGAGAUCAAGCAGCUGGCGCCGGAGUACCAGCCGCAGCCCAGCAAGCCGGACUGCACGAUUGGCGACUCUCCGGUCGUCCCCUCCUCCGCUGGUUCUGCCACACCACCCUCCUUGCUGAAUCUCGCCAAUUCGGAGACCGACGAGAUCAAGCAGCCCGGCGAGGUCGACUGCCCGAUGAGCGACUCCUCCACCUUGUCGUCUGUAAGCAUCACCACUCCUCCUUCAGAAAACAAAAGAAGAAUAAAGAAGAAAAUCAUCACCGCUCCGAUGGGUGACCCGGACCCCUCCUCCGAUGGCUCUUCCGCACCGCCGGCCAAUUCGGAGACCGGCCAGAAGCAGCCGGAGCCGGAGUACCCGCUGCGGCCCGGCAAGAGCGACUGCUCCUACUACGUCAAGUUCGGAAGCUGCCGGUACGGGAUGAAUUGCUGGUUCAAUCAUCCUCUCUACAUGCAUGCUAGCCGUGGGCUUCAGCGGGAUAAUUGGGUUGGAAGGAACAGCAGCCGAGCAUCUAACUCAUCCGAGUACAAGCAGUACAUUCGAUGA
rnacentral:rRNA from 1 species